UGUUUCCUGAGGUGUUCGACAAACCUGUUAUUUUGAACCUACACUUUUUGAUCGGGAAUUCCAUAUUUUAGAGUGGAUGUCAGGCCUUAAGUAAUUCCCUUUGGGCGAAGGAAGGCAAAUAUUCUAAUGAGAAUACCCACCUAGCUGGGGCUAGGGCAUCAAAAUACAGGGAAACGGCAUUUUGGGUCAUAA
rnacentral:other from 1 species